GUCUACGGCCAUGCCACCCCGAACAAGUUCAAUCCUGUCUAAUCUUGGAAGCUAAGCAGGAUCAGGCCUGGUUAGUACUUGGAUGGGAGACCACCUAGGAAGACCAGGUGCUGUAGGCA
rnacentral:rRNA from 1 species